CUUACAGGUUUGUGUGUAAAAUUAUAUUGUCUUCAGAAGUAGAAGCAGAAAACUCUGUCUUGAAGUGAUACUUUUGAUUUUAAACACGACCAUAACGUAGUACAAAGUAAACCUAAAAAUUAGCUCUCCAAGCCCCCUGAUGAUGUGGUUAUAGUGCAAUAAGUGCACUGACACUUCCCAGGAUAAACUGGUUGACACUUUACCUGAGGUCCACCAGUUGUCUCCUCAGUGGAGAUGGAGGCUCGUGCAAAGAGCACCAGCAGAAUGAUUUGACCACGUACCCAGGGAGGACACCAAGG